AAAGCUAUCAAAAAAUUGUCAACUGACUUUUUAUUUUCUCAGAAAUAUUUUGUUAGUUGAAAAUUUUUC
ensembl:ncRNA Y71A12C.4 ncRNA